rnacentral:lncRNA from 1 species
AUUUAAUAAAAGUGUUGGCAUUAAAACUUCUUUAAUUCGUUUUCAGGACCUUGAAAAAACUUCUAAUAUAAAGUACUUACAUUAUUCAUGAGUUAAGAGAAAGUUGUAAUUUGAAAGGAGAAAAUAAAAUAGGUGUUUUCCCCUUUCUGAGUUACCCUUCAAAAUUCUUGGGAUCAUACUAUAUUCAGGGUCGUAUUAUAUUCUGGCUAAUAUGGUACCUCAUCAACCUUUGACUUAGUUCAGUCACCCAGUGUGGAAGAGGUAUGCAUGCAAAGAACAGAAGCUGGAGAUGGGUCAUCUGUCAGUCAAAUGAAGAUUCCAUUUGGAAUGUGACUGGGAAACAGUUGGAGGCAAGAGUCAACGGCUUGACUGGAUUUUAAGGUCUUUGGGCUUUCAGCCUCUUCCACACCAAUCAGCUUCGACUACAGCUCAAAAUUCCCGAGCUCAGGUGAUCUCUUGGCCCAUACCUCUCCAGUAGUAGGCACUAUAGUUCACUUGAUCUAGACCAUCCUUGGUGAUUUGUUGAAAGAAAAGAUCUCAAAAUGUCACUGAAAAGGUACAGACUGACAUCUGACAUUAAGUGGGACUUAAAAGGAUUAUCUAACUCUAAGUCAGAGGGAACCCUGGAAAGAGACAAUGCUCUUGGUGAUCAAAAAAAGAUUUUUAAAAAGAGGAAGGCUGUGCAGCUUGCAUCUACAUACUCUAGAAAAACCUGGAAGUUCACAACAAACAAACACAGCUGA